AUGGAUGAUGCUGGCAUGGUGUUCCUUCUCGAUGCUAUUUACAAGCCAUCCUUUGCCAGGUUCCCACUGCGAGAGGAGUUCGCCGACAGCCAUAUGCAUCACACCAGGCUAUUCCCUGAGGUUCAUGGGAGGCGUGAUAUGACUGACAAGAGUGGGAACAUACUUCCGGGAACUGUGGUUGACCUCAUGAUUUGCCACCCUAUAGAGUUUGAUUUCUACUUGUGCAGCCAUGCUGGCAUUCAGGGAACUAGCAGGCCAACACACUACCAUGUUCUUUAUGAUGAGAAUCACUUCACAGCCGAUGCGCUUCAGUCACUGACCAACAAUCUCUGCUACACCUAUGCUCGUUGCACUCGUGCGGUCUCUGUUGAUGAAGUCAAGGGAACACCUGAUGAGACUUCGGCUAUUGCAACAACAGAAUGCCCACUUGCAGAGAAGGGAUCCAAAUCAACCGGCUCUUAA
rnacentral:rRNA from 1 species